UAUAGUUGUUGCAGUUAAAAAGCUCGUAGUUGAAUUUCGGGAUUAGUAGGUUGGUCGUGCCUCCGGUAUGUACUGGCUUUACUGGUUCCUCCUUCUUGAAGAGCUGUAAUGUCAUUAAUUUGGUGUUGCAGGGAAACAGAUCUGUUACUUUGAAAAAAUUAAAGUGUUGAAAGCAGGCUAACGCUUGAAUACAUUAGCAUGAAAUAAUGAAAUAGNACGUUUAGUCCUAUUUUGUUGGUUUCUAGGAUUGACGUAAGAAUUAAUAGGG
rnacentral:rRNA from 1 species